GGGGUUCUGGCCGAGUGGUUAAGGCGCUGUGUUUAGGUUAAUUACCAUCCGCAGUGGGAAACCGCGCAGGUUCGAAUCCUGCGGACCUCA
rnacentral:tRNA from 1 species